CUAAGCACUGCCAGACAGGUUUGACUAAGGAACGAAGCCUAGUAUGGAUUAAUAGAGCAGCUGUUUUCUUUUUCUAGCUGUUUUUUUUUUGUAAAGUGACUGCUGUCAGGAUAUUUUGUAGAAACUAUGUAUGUGUUUUAAGAGAACUAUGAAGUUUAAAAUUAAGGUUUUUGAAAUGUUCUGCUUCAUCUGUAAAAAUCAAAGAGUUUUCUUUCAAAUUUUAUAAUUUAUUUUUAUUUUUAUUUAUCUGCUGGGGCCUUCAAUGCCCGCACCUGGGAGCCUCAGGAGACCACCUGGGAUGCACCCCCGCCCACUGGCCCUGCAGCCACAUUUAGGGCAGCCAAAGCACCUUGCCAGGGCUUUUCAUGUGUUGUGGGUAGAUCCUUGCUUAUCCCUAUCUGCCGCAGUGCCCUACUUCUGGGGCUGUUCCAGAGCUGAUCUGCUUCUGCUGAUUUGGCUGAGAGCUUUCUCACCCUAUGAGCAAGUUUAUAAGGUCUUCAACCUGAGAUGGGAUUCCUGUUCUGCAAAAGACUACAAGCAACACCCAUUGUCUGGGUGCUGCUUGGCCAAAAAGUCCCUGAGGGAGGAAGGUUGCUGUGCCCCACAGCACCCAGAGCAGCCUCAAGUGCCUCUGGGCCCCUCUGUCUCCUGCAGAGCUGAGCCCCAGCAAGAUAGUUCGCUGGGGGGACCUUGGCAGCAGUUCCUAUGGGACAUGUUCGCACUGAAAUCCGUCAUAAACUGGAGAUCACAAGGAGUUUUGUGUCUUCACACUGUGCUGGAACAUACAACUGCUCCUCCCACAACAUGGCAAAACGGGGGCCUACACAACCUGAGACUUCCACUGAAGCAGCAAAAUAAUUUCCUGUUUUGA
rnacentral:lncRNA from 1 species